rnacentral:misc_RNA from 1 species
GAUUUAGCAGAAGUCUCUCCUCAAAAACCCAAGGGCGCAGCCAUCGGCGAGAGAAACAAAACCUCGCCUGUCAUCGUUCCUUGCACAUCAAUCCGUAGGCAGACCUAAAGGAACUUUGUGGAAUUGAUGGCAUCAAAGAUUCAACAACUGCAAUCUCAGGCAUGCCAAGCUUCAAAAUUUGUUGCCAAGCAUGGUACUGCCUACUAC